GGGUAGUAUCCUGUAUAUGUCCUGGUGACAUAGUGAAGGUUAUGUUGUAGAGGGUAGUAUCCUGUAUAUGUCCUGGUGACAUAGUGAAGGUUAUGUUGUAGAGGGUAGCAUCCUGUAUAUGUCCUGGUGACAUAGUGAAGGUUAUGUUGUAGAGGGUAGUAUCCUGUAUAUGUCCUGGUGACAUAGUGAAGGUUAUAUUGUAGAGGGUAGCAUCCUAUAUAUGUCCUGGUGACAUAGUGAAGGUUAUGUUGUAGAGGGUAGUAUCCUGUAUAUGUCCUGGUGACAUAGUGAAGGUUAUGUUGUAGAGGGUAGCAUCCUGUAUAUGUCCUGGUGACAUAGUGAAGGUUAUGUUGUAUGUAGAGGGUAGCAUCCUGUAUAUGUCCUGGUGACAUAGUGAAGGUUAUGUUUUAGAGGGUAGUAUCCUGUAUAUGUCCUGGUGACAUAGUGAAGGUUAUGUUGUAGAGGGUAGCAUCCUGUAUAUGUCCUGGUGACAUAGUGAAGGUUAUGUUGUAGAGGGUAGUAUCCUGUAUAUGUCCUGGUGACAUAGUGAAGGUUAUGUUGUAGAGGGUAGUAUCCUGUAUAUGUCCUGGUGACAUAGUGAAGGUUAUGUUGUAGAGGGUAGCAUCCUGUAUAUGUCCUGGUGACAUAGUGAAGGUUAUGUUGUAUGUAGAGGGUAGCAUCCUGUAUAUGUCCUGGUGACAUAGUGAAGGUUAUGUUGU
rnacentral:lncRNA from 1 species